GACCAGGGCACGAACCCGCGCCCCCUGCAUCGGCAGGCGGACUCUCAACCACUGUGCCACCAGGGAAGCCCACACAGCAUCAUUUUAAUAGUACCUCACUAUUAGACAUUUAGAUUGUUUCCAAUGUUCUUUUGUAAAAGUGGGAAUAUCCAGGUUUCAGGAGACACACUCCUAUGUCUGGGGAAGGUGGAGAAAUAUGUGAGUUUGCAAGGGUGCCUGGUGGCCCAAACUAAACCUGUUCAGACCCCUCCGCAGGGCCUCUGUCUGGCUUUCUGUGCAUCCAGAUUGAAGGACCAGAGAGGGAGUCCUCAGAUCCGCUGAUCAUGGCAGGGGUCACUAUGUGUUUGUGCUGCUCUUCCUGGGGACAGGCAGGCUCUGGGGAUGGGAGUCCAUCCCAGUGGACAACCCCUCUGCUCCCAGUAGCCCUGGGAGCUAGGCCAAAGGACCUAGCCCUUCCUCACUCUCUUUUCCUCAGAAAGAGAGACACCGCUUUCUUGGUCCCAUGAGGCUGUGGUCUUAGGUCUGAAACAGAGGAGCUUUAAGUGGCUUGGAGCCUACUGGACCUAAUAAUAAUGGUUCUAACAGUGGCUAAUAUUUAUUGGGCAUUUGCUAUGAUGCUUCAGGUGCUCUACAUACAGCAACUUGUUAAUUUGCAGACCUCCUGUUCUGAGAGCAGGCGGUAGUGUCUCCUAGUGAAAAUAAGCAAGGCGGGCUCAGGGUCUCACAGACCUGGUUAGGGUCCCGGCUGCCCCACUGACCAGCAGCUCUGUGACUCAGGCAGGUGCAGCUCUUAGGAAUGCAUUCAGCUGCAAAGAUCAGAAAACCCAACCGAGAGUGCCUUAGACAAGUAGGUAGUUAUUUUUCCGACAUUAUGAGAAUUCUGGAGGGAGCCAACCCCGGGCUCAUGUGGUGUCUUCAGGGACCCACUCUCUUAUCUUCCCACCUGCACUAUCCCCGCCUUGUGGCUUUUGUCCUCAUGGUUGUGAGAUGGCUGCAUCUGAGGCAGGAAGAAGCAGAAAGGGAGAAAGUGGGGCAGCCCCUGGAUCAGGAAAGCAAAAGCUUUUUUUGAAACGCUCAGCUUAUGUCUCAUUGGCCAGAACAUGGCCACCUGGCUGUACGGGACUCUGUGGGAGAAGGUUUAGCUGGACACAUUGCCCUCCCUACAGAAAUCAGGGUUCGGUUAGCAAGGGAGACAAGGAAUGUUUGAUGGGUCAGCAGCCAUCAGCAUCCGUGUCAGCAAGUCACUUCAUCUCUCUGAGGCUCAGUGGUUCCACCUCCCUAGUCUAGUCAGGCUCUUUCAACUCACUAGAGGUAUCCCCGGUUUGCCUUAGGGCUUGGGAGAUCCCCAGGGGUGGGGAGACCCAGACGUGGGUCCCAGCAACACACAGUCCAUUCCCCGUGGGUCUCUGUGCUUCCCAGCAGGCCCUCUGGCACCUUGCUGUCCGGGAGGUACCAGGAGCUCUGGGCACGAGCUGUCCUGCCAUCACUUUGAAUCGGGCAUCCAUGGCUCCCUGCCACACCCCGCGAUUCUUCCUGGCUUGGAAAGCUGGCCUCUUUGCCCUCUUUCUCUUCCUUCUACUCCUCACUCUACUGACUCAAGCCGACUGUCACCUCUGCUGCCAUGGCUGCAUCUCACAUUCAGACCCCCCAAAAGAGACAGUGUCCGGGGUGAGUGAGUAACCCCUCGGUGAGGAGCAUUGUGGUCAGGCAGAGGCUUCCUGUCCCAGUGGUCACUCGUCACCCUUUAGCCACAGGACACAUUGUGGCUUCUUUCCUCAACAGAGAGAGCCCUGUGGCUGGGGCAGGUGCUGGUGGAGCCCACGUCCUCUGCGACCCGUUGCCUCGGGGAGUCUCAGGGCACAGGACUGCACAGCUCUCGGGGCGUCAUGCACGUUGAGUCCAUUAGCGCUUUUAGGUUGUCUGUGUGAUUCUGGAUGCAGGGAGAGCUCGCACACCUGGGCCCCGAGGGUCAAAGGCAAGAAUCAGGCCAGGAGGCCCUGUUAUCACAAGAGUUAUCACAAGGCUGUCCAGGUGAACAGAAGGCAAAGGUCCCCACCACAUGCUCUCGUGGCCUCAGGAGCUCUCCUUCAGCCUGCCCAGGGCUGGAGGGCCGUGUAGUCAAUCUCCUCAACCUGAAGAAUUCUACAGAAUGGAGUUGGCUUCGUGGGCUGGCUGCCUGUUGGACCUGCCAGCAGACCAGCCCUUCACUGAAACUUUGAACUUGGUUAUGUGACAUUUGCUUUUCAAGCAGAGAAGAAAGGCAGAUUGCUGAGCAGAGCCAAGCUAGUUAUGGUUCUUUUUUUGGCUGAUGAGUACUAAUUCCCUUUGAGGGAGGCUUCUCACUUGGUCCCUUUCAGACACCAGGAGAAGAAGGGGUGGGACCCUCUAUCAGGCUUCAGAGGAAAGGACCCGCACCAGUGAGUGGAGGACCCCAGGUCCUAAACUGACGCGAGCUGAGAGUACCUCACAGCAUGACACGCUGUGCAGAGGGAGAACCGGCUCUCAGGAGCAGUGACCCCUGGGGAUAGAGAUGGAAGCCAGGGAGCCCAUCAGGGGUGGGAGGCGCCCUUCCAGCUCCCAGCCCAGAGCACUCCUGCACCCCAGGCUCCCAGGAGUCAGCACCCAGUGCACAGUGGGCUCGAGACUGGGCCCCGGGGAUGACCCAGCUCACCCUCGUCUGCGCGCUCAGCCUGCAGCUCUCUGCGCCGCCUCCUUCUCGUGGAGAAAACAUGUCCAUGACCAUGAGUCCCUUUCCAUCCCACAUGUCCAGGGCAAACCUCCCUGCUGCAACACACAGACGUGGUUCCAAUCUCUGCUCCUUCCUUCCCUACGUCUCUGGUCUGGGAAAGCGGUUUUCUGCCCAUCCUCACAUCCUGCCUGCGGUAUUGCAGCAGCCUCCUAAGCAGGCCUCCUGCCUCUAGGGCUCACCAACAGCAUCCUGUACCUCUUUCUGGCAUAACUUGCCAAAACACGAUGCACUCUAAUCAUGCCUCUGGAAGUUUUCAGCUCCUUGCUCGCUGCCUACAAGAAAAAGGAGAAGGUGGGAGAACCUUCCUUUGUGAUUUGGCCCCCCUCUGCCUCUCUGAGUCUUGUUACACUUUGUUCUGCCCACAGCUCCAAACUUAGGGACUCAAGAAACAUUUAGAGAUGGAAUGAAUGAAUAUAAAAAUUUGGAGGCCAAACAAGGGUCCUCUGGUGUUUUUAAUUUCGUAGUUAUAGAGCUGCCAUGCUAAUAUCUUCAUGAGAUAUUAAGAGUAUCAUUGAUAGUCUUUUCCUGGUUUUCUGGAGAUAAGUCUGUUAUCCAGAGAAUUGAGAGGCCUGUCUUAUUUCAUAAAGGGGGCAAGGUUUAUGGAAUAUAUAAGGAAACUGAGAGUCAAAUAACAUUUUGAUCUUUUGUUUUGAAUUUGUAGCUCAGAUAAUGCCUACCAAAAGCAUUUCAAUAAUUUGCUCUUUUUUUAGCCAGCCAGUUCUUCAGUCGAGUUUAAAAAGGCUUGGAAGAACAUGUGAUUUUUAAAAUAUCCUGGAGGAUUUUUCCAGGCCUGGGCGACUCACGGGUCAAUGCACAGCUAUUUCUGUAUGUGUGUAGAGUGGGAGGUGCUCUGCCGGUUCACGGAGGGCAGGUCCUGGCUCUCUGGAUGGGGGGUUGGAUGCAGGACUUUACUCUUCUCUCCUUGUGCCUCAGCUGGACUUCACUGCAGAACCGCAGGCCCAUUUUCCUCACCCCUUUGUGUUUGCGUGCCUGCACCGGCUGCAAGGUGUUUAUUCUGAGCUGGUCCCUUUAAAUUGUGGGAGCCCUGACUCUGGGUCAGAGGUGUAGGUAUGAACCUAGUAGGUGUCUGAGGAGUCGCUCUGGGGGAGUGUAGACUAUACAGAGUAGGGGUAGCUUUGGAAUACACCAUCCAUACAUGAGAAACAAACACCUCCUAAUAGCAAAAGGAACCCUCAGGUCAAAUGGAGAGCUGAGGAAUGUGGACCGAUGGUGCUGAAAGAUCGAGUGCCCCGCCCAGCCCUGCAACUCAUCCUUUGAUUUUCUGGGCCAGGCCUUUCCCCCAGGGGCACAAUCCCUUUCAAGCUAGGUGGCUGGGUGGAUGUUUUCUGUUUGCCCCUCAGAUCCACUCUUCACCCUUCUGUGCCCUGCCCUGAGCUCUGGAAGCUGACCGUAGGGACUGUGUGAAUGGGCUCCUGGCUUCCUGCCCCCUAUUGUGCUCUUUACCCGGUGGGGAGAACCGACAGGAGAUGAGAGGGGUGGGUGGAGGGCGCUGGGAAUGGGGGGUGGCGGUGCGAGGCCCAAGUAUUGAUUCUCCUGGCUCCUCCCUGAGGCAUCACGAGGUCUGGGCCCCUGGUCGGCAGUGCUCUCCACAGGGCACUUCAUCUAAGGUUCCAGUAGCCUCUCCUCCCUCACCCCUGUGGUCCUGGCGUGUAAAUGUGGCACUGUUACUGGUCCCAGAACGCUGCGCUGUGGUUCCCCUACCCCCUGCUCGCCCCUCUAUAAAUGGUCCCUUUAUUAAACUCUCCUCAGAUUACCCAGUUUGAGAGUGCCAUCUGUUUCCUGCCAGAACCCUGGCGGAUAUGGUUCCUAAGAUCUUUUCCAGCUCAGAAAAAAGAUGCCUGCAAGCAAGGGGGAGCUGGCCCUUUGGGGUUCCCGUUUUUCAUUGGUGCCUCCCUGCCUGGUUCACCAGGAUCAUGGGAGGGAGGGACUGGUAGAAAUGUGAUCCCCAGAGCACAGAGUCACUAGGACAAGGAUCACCAGGGCCUUGGCAGACACAGACUGUCAGAGCCCCGAUUUCCAAAGAGUGGGCAGGUGUGCUGUCCCCCUGUGGUGGAGGGGCGAGGGUAAGGGGUGGUCACACCAAUGGAGGCUGGACUGUCACUCCCAGCCCUCUCUGCCCUGUGACUUUGAGCAGGUCACCUCACCCUCGGAGCCUUGACUUCUUCCCUCCUAGUCCAGAGCUGAUUGCCCCAUCCCUGGCCCACACACGAAUGUUACGAGGUGCAGAGUCUGUGCAGGCUGAAGAGAGUUGCCGUCAGAAACAGCUUUUAUUGUGAUGGGGUCACAGGCAGGGCACAGAGCUCCGUGGGGACAUUCCCCCUGCUCCUGUCCCAGCUAAACCUGCUUCCUUUCAUGCUUUCCUGCUGUAUGCACUCAUAGAGACAUACGUGGCUCCCAGAGUGUCAGUUUCAGGAUCAAAGCUUGACCUCAGAGAUACCAGGUUACAGGAUCAUGCCAUCAAAGCGCUGCGGCAGCCUCCGGCCAUCUCUGGAAUUCAGAUCCAGACCUCGAGGGUCUUAGGCAGCCACCUGUAGCCCUUCUCAAAGAAGCCACUUCAAACUAGGUCUAAGAGAGGAUAAGAGGAAUUAAGAGUAUACUUUUUAAAUUUAUCUAUUAUUUUCUCUUUUUUUUUUUUUUGGCUGCAUUGGGUCUUUGUUGCU